UUCACAAAAUAAAAUAAGAACUAUUUUAUAAACCCUAACAUAUUUUGUUUCGCUCUUGUAUGGUUUAUUUAAUAAACCUCUCCUUGUCUUUUUCAUUCAACAAACCCUAACACCAAAACUAUCUAACUUUCAAAAUAAAGCGGUGCUAUUCUGGUAUGAUUUCAAUUUGGUUUUCAAAACAGUUUGAAAAAUAAAAGAAAAGGAUUUUCGAAAUAAAAACAGAAAACCCUAACCCAUCUAACCAGGCCUCUCUCUCCACCGGCCCAUCCCUCUCCCUUUUCCCUCUUCCCACCGGAGGCCCAGCUCUCGCUCUCUUUACCCGGCCCACUUCCUUCUCUCCAGCUCUGGCCCGUACCGGUUCGGAGACGAGACCGAGUCUCCCUUCCUCGUCGUUUUCCACCUGCACGCAGAAGGCGUGACCCCUUUUUCCCAUGGCCGUGCGUGGUCCUCCCUCCCCUCACCUGCUCCCUCACACGCCUCCUCCAUCUCUCUACUUUAUCUGGCAGGCUGCAGCCUCACGCAAACCCCAUCUCCACUCACCUCUCCGUUCCCUUUCCCCUUCUCCACGAAACGAGAAGAGGAGAAACCCCCUCAGUACCGCCUCCUCCUCGACGUCAAUCCGCCUCUACCGGCCACCCCUCUUCAAUCUGAGACCACCGAAAGAUGCGCCUCAUCGUCCUCGUCAUCCCCCUGCAAGGAAUCGUCCCCGAGCGCUGUGAAUCGCCGCCACGGUCGCCGUUUCUUCUCCAUCCCCGGCGCUGUUUUCCGUCGAAUUCGUCGUCGUUCGUCCUCCUCCGGUCAAACGAACCCUACCAUCGGCUUCCUGGUGAUGUUCUCGAUCUCCCUGACCACUCGCUCGUCCCCGUCCCCCUCUGUUUCAUCUCUGUACCUUGGUGACCGUCGUCGUCCUCUACAGGUCAUCCUCGUGGGCCGUUCUCCGGUGGUGCCCCGACCUCACCUUCACCCGCCUCAGAUCCUCCACGUCGCGGCGCAUCUACGACGCCCUCUGCCUCGUCCCGCCUCAGCCUCCCUCGACAAACCCGGGCUCGACUUGAUCUCAGCCAUGGCGUAUGUGUCUCAGACCUCGGCCUAAUUCUGGUCAAAAGGGCCGCGCGUCUACUUCUAAUCAUAACCCAACGACCAGCUUAGUGAUCCGGCGCUGUUGAUGGGCCAAGCCAAGAUCCGCCGGCGCAGCACAUCACCCACGCGGCCUGAAGCUAUCCGUCGCCGACACAUACCAGAUCCAGCCCAGGACACGGCAGGUCCAUCCCCUGCCCGUUUCCUUUUCUUUUUGCAAAACUUGUAAAAUUAAUAUCUUUUAAACUAUAACUCGAAAUAAAAAGUGCUCUAUAUGAAAAUUGAUCAGAAAAACAUAAGGAACAUGAAUAUGCCAUCUAUAUGCCUGUUUGCAUCUUGCAUCAUGUCGCGCGUUGAUAGUUCGUGCAAACCACCUAACAUAUAUGCGGAGUAUUUCGGACACCGACUAUGGUUCUCCCCGCUUCGUUUAACUUUGAUGUAGCGCACCCUUGCCAUGCUAAUCCACCCUUAAAUUUGCCGGUAGAAGUGCAACUCCAACCUUAAUUGUUUGUCCGGGGUUCCGACUCCGAUUAAUAUGGAUAAGUUGCACCGCAUCAUCCUUGCCAUGUCAUGCAUACCAUCUUGAGCAUGCCGACUCUUAAUCCGUAGUAGUAAGACUUGCAUGCGUUGUGUGUUCCAGCAUUUGCUUCUUCCCGGAUAGGAUCACGAAGUGGUGAUGUGAGAUACGACGAGUUCUCCGACAAGUGCUUCUGCAGCUUUUCACAGGCGACCCCACCCCUUCACCUAUUUUACUUUUACAUGCUCUUUUGAUCUAUUGCUAUCCUUAUGUUGCGAUUCUGUUGUGUCACGUGUCCUAUCCACCUGUUACCUAUAUGUCCGAGAUACACCUCCUCGCCCUACCUAUUGUUUGUUGUUUGCCAGCUUUGCGAGUCGUAGGCGAGUUUAGGGUCUUGUUGAUAUCUCGAGAUGUUCGGGAUAUCUUGUUGGGAGGUUAUCACAUGCUAUAUCUUUUGUUGGAGAUAAUCACACUUUAUUUUAUUGUUAACAACUAAAAUUGUAAGCAGGGGCAUCUGUGAGCCCCUUUGCGAAAGCAUCGGAACUUUGACUCGCUAAUGUCCCCUAGGACCCGAGUUCUUGUUAUCUGUUCCGAGAUUGAGCACUCUACCCGUACGUGGGGGAGUGGGACCCCCAUCACCCACUACCUUUCCUCGAGUCUGUUUAUUGGGAGCCACAACCUUGGUUUUAUUUGCUCAUAUGCACGAUGCACGAUUUACUUCUGUUGCCUUCGGGUGUUUAUAUUCUGUUCUGUACUCAUAACGCGGAACGAUUAGCGAAAGCAGGUUGUUCACACUUAGCAUAGCCGUUGUCGCAAACCUCUGGGUCCGUAUCGGAGUACGGCCGGACUUCGUCACGGGUAGCUUAGUUGGGUGGCUCCCAUUAAACUUUCUCUUGCAUUGGGAACGGUCUUGAUGUGAGACUCCACCUGUAGUAAGUGGGUUCGAGCAUGCGUAUGGUUACAUUUGGGCAACCCCUGCAGGGUGUACAUCUUAUCGAUAAGCCGUGUCCGCGGUUAUGGACGACUUGGAAUUGUAUAGCUUGAUCAUAGAACAACUUACACCUUAUAUCCCGUUGCUAAUAAUUUGCUAAUAAAACUUUUUCCAAAAAGUGUGUGUGUGCCUUUGACAGUACCUCUUUGCGAAGGGGGAUCGCAUCGGCUGUGUUAUGUUUGCAGAGUAUAGAACUGUUACCUUGUGCGCUCUCUUAUCUUCUCUAAGUAGACGGAUGUUGUAGCGUGUCUCUAUUGGAUAGUAGCUUUGCUGCCGCUAAACUCCACAUAUAGCCGGGUGAAGUUUAUACCGCCCACCAGCGAGCAUAGCUGGUCUUGUCUCGCAAGUACGUGCCAAUGGUACUUACCCUCGCCUUCCUUUCUUUUUGUGUCCUCCCCCUUCUGUCGGCAACCGAUGGCCCGACUUUGACAGGUACGAGAUGACGACGUUAGCAAGGUUACCCUUCCGGCUUGGCCUGGGCAGGGUUAUGGACGCCAAUGGUUAUCUUCAGGACUCUUAGUCCAAUUUGUAUCUUGUCCGUACUCGGACGUAUUUGAACUUCUGUAUGAUUUGGAUCUUUGUAUUGUAUAUUUGUAUCUUGACUCGUUGGAGUCGUUGUUGUAAUAUAUGUAUCUUGUGGGCUCUAUUGUAAUCCUGUUGUAAUGUUA